GCGCCCGUAGCUCAGCUGGAUAGAGCGUCUGGCUUCGAACCAGAGGGUCGGGAGUUCAAGUCUCUCCGGGCGCGCCA
rnacentral:tRNA from 1 species